ACGCGGGAGGCCUUCUGGGAAACUGAGUGACAGGAGUUGUAGCGAAUACUGUGCGGUCUUCCUCAGACCGCAGAGGAGCCCCGAGGGACCCGGCACGUUCAGGAUUCUCCCCACCCCCCUUCAUUCCCCCCACGAAUGAGGCAGGGUCGGUAUAAUGACUCCAUUAAUCGGAGGUCAUUAGUAGGGUUUGCACACUGGCACUCCAUUUACAUACACUGCCCUUGGUCUGUGCCCUUCAGUGUAGGUGGCGGUGUGAUGCGAUUAAUUAUGCACAAAUCGCGAUUUCUGGUGUCACAUUCCAGCGCUUAGAGCUCUGGGGAAGCUCUUUGUCAGGACACCGUAUGUUAGCACCCGUGCCAGCCUCAUUAUCCCAACAGAAAGGCCCUGGGCUGGAUGAUAAUGCGCGCUCUGCAGCUUCGCUCCACACUCUGGCAGCUACAACGCAUGAGCGCCUUCUCCCAAGACCAUUCUUGUACCCUGAUAUAGUAAAAUUGCUAAAUAUGGUGAAAG